GAAAUGCGAUAAGUAAUGUGAAUUGCAGAAUCUCGUGAAUCAUUGAAUCUUUGAACGCACAUUGCGCCCUAUGGUAUUCCGUAGGGCAUGCCUGUCCGAGCGUCAUUACGCACCCUCAAGCCCGGCUUGUGUGAUGGGCCCUGGCGUCUCGUUCGCGAGACGGGCCCGAAAGGCAGCGGCGGCGUCGACCCGAUGAGCCCGAGCGUAUGGGGACUUUUGUCACACGUUUGCGGUGCGGACCGGCGCCUGCUUGACUUUUCUGAUUAUCCAGGUUGACCUCGGAUCAGGUAGGGAUACCCGCUGAACUUAAGC
rnacentral:misc_RNA from 1 species